AGUGAACGCUGGCGGUAGGCCUAACACAUGCAAGUCGAACGGCAGCACAGUAAGAGCUUGCUCUUACGGGUGGCGAGUGGCGGACGGGUGAGGAAUACAUCGGAAUCUACUUUUUCGCGGGGGAUAACGUAGGGAAACUUACGCUAAUACCGCAUACGACCUACGGGUGAAAGCAGGGGAUCUUCGGACCCUGCGCGAUUGAAUGAGCCGAUGUCGGAUUAGCUAGUUGGCGGGGUAAAGGCCCACCAAGGCGACGAUCCGUAGCUGGUCUGAGAGGAUGAUCAGCCACACUGGAACUGAGACACGGUCCAGACUCCUACGGGAGGCAGCAGUGGGGAAUAUUGGACAAUGGGCGCAAGCCUGAUCCAGCCAUACCGCGUGGGUGAAGAAGGCCUUCGGGUUGUAAAGCCCUUUUGUUGGGAAAGAAAAGCAGCAGGUUAAUACCCCGCUGUUCUGACGGUACCCAAAGAAUAAGCACCGGCUAACUUCGUG
rnacentral:rRNA from 1 species